GCCACCUUCUUUCCUCUCCCUCCGUGGUCAUUCUCCAAAUUCCCCAAAUCCCGCCGCCCCUAGUGCCCCACGCCGCACCCUCCCCUUGCUCGCCCCGCCCGCUCACUCACCGCGCGCCUCACACGACGGCGCACGCACGCCGGCCUGCUCCCUGAGCGCGCACGCCGCGAGGAGCACGCGAGCCAUCGCUCCCUCCCUGCGUCGCGAGGAGAUCUCGCCGCCCCGCUCCCUGUGUCGCGAGGAGAGCACGCGACGGCGCAGGCACGCCGCCCCGCUCCCUCACCGCACGCGACGGCGCAGGCACGCGACCCAUCGCUCCCUGGCAACACGACGGACGCUUGGUGCCCUCCACCUGCUUUGCCUGGAGCGCUUGGAGAGAGGAAGCCCCGUGCGCCCCUAGGUCCUUGACAGCAACAGCCAGAGCUCCUACGUCCCUGCAGAAUGGUUGCAACUGAAAAAAGCUUGCUGCCCCCUAGGCCUGUUGCAGCCCCAUCAGCUAGGAACGUGGCUACUGCACCAACAAAUGAUGCAGCUCAUUCAACUAUAAACAAGACAACUACAACAACGAUUAAUGCCCCUUGACUUCAUGAUAACCUUGUUGGAAAGGAUUUGAUAUUAUAUGCUAUAUUGAGAUCUGAGUUACAUGUGGCUAUGAGGACAGUCCUUUCAACUAAUCCAAGCACCAUUGUAGGAGGGCAGCCUCUUGGUAAUGAAUUUUGUGAAGUAGUAGUUAAUGUUGUGAUGAAAAAGGAUGCUUUGCUGCCUUGGACUUACGGCGAUAUGCUGACUGUGGCUAGUGCUGACCGCAUGAACAUUGCAUGGCCAUUCAAUAAAAUAAAGGAAUGCAAGAAUAGGGAAGGCAAGAAUGCAUCUAGCACACCUCAAGGGCACUACAGGAAAUGCGGGGCACAGCAAGUGUUUGGCUUAAGUUCAUGGAAAAUGGUUCUCCACAACCUGAUGGAUGUGCUUUUGGUUUUUCAUUCCUAUUGUGUGCGCCAACCUUACUAUUAUAUAUCAAACACAAACUACUAUAUAUUGCUUGCUGGUGUGCAUUCAUGUAAUCUUUUGUUGGAUAAUGUAGUAUGUAAGACAAGAUUGUAUGCUUGAUGACUUUGUUGGAUGUAUUGUGAUGUAACGUACAAGACAAGAUUGUAUGCUAUAAUAUAUAUGUAUCGACCUCCAUGUCAUGUGUGACCUUA